AUCUGGCCUUCCUAUCCUGGUACAGGGUGCAUCUGGACUCGGUGAAGCUGUGACACAUGUCAUGAGUGGUUCAUCAUCCAUUGUGGUAUCAGAGGAUGUCAGUGAGUGGUCCAAGGCAAUUAGGAAGGUCAGGGACAAGGGUAGGAAAGUAUGGCUUGAAGAGGCUGAUUUAUUGCAGUAACAUUAUAAUGAGAUGUACAGUUGGAAGAAAGAGUGUGGAGAUCUUGUCAAGGAGAUGCUGAAGAUGGCUUCUGCUCAACAAGACAAGACUCAGUAACUUGGAAUUUGAGUGAAUGCAUCACUUAGGAACCAAACAAGAUCAAACACACUUAACCAGCAUGAGAAGGUGUGAAAUGAACAAUUAUGUAUUCCUUUGUUUAAUUGUAGAGUAUAUGCAUGAAAUUUAAGGACAUAGAUGUAGUACCUCUGCUUAAUAACUGAGUACUAUAGGAAGCUCUAAGCACACCCAGUGAGGUGUAAAAAGGGCACACCCAGUGAGGGCACACCCAGUGCGGGCACACCCAGAGAGGUGUAUAAAUGGCCUUUUAAUAUAACUUCAUAAGGUGUGUGCUAGUUAUUAAACACAAGCCUUGAAGCAGGCUGUUAUUUUUUUGUAAGAAUGAGUAAGCUUUGCUUUAUGGCUUUACUACAAUGAUAUUAAGCCGUGUCCAUUGCAAACCCCCAGAGAGAUGUACAAAUAGCACUUUUAUACAACUUCAUAAAAGUGUGUGUUAGUUGUUCAAAACAAGCCUUUAAGGGGGCUCUUAUUUUUUCUUAAGAAUUGGGAGGCUUUGCAUUCUAGCUUUACCACAAUGAUAUUGAGCAGUGUCCAUGACACUUUUACUCAACUUCAUUGAGGUGUUUGUAAUUGAUUUAACACAAGCCUAUAGGUGCAGGCUUUUACAUGUACAGUAUAUUCACUUCAGAAAAAGUCAGCAGAUUUUAGUUUACUGUUCCAUAUUUUAUCUUUCCCCUAUAAAAGUGGGCUGCAGUAUUCCAGGUAGGACAGUUAAUGUAGGCCUUGUAUAGCACAGAUCAACAUCAGCAGGUGCCACCUUUUUUUAAAUUUUCUGAGAACUCCAAUUAUGGCCAUGUCAACUAUGAUAACCAGAGGCAACAUUCAGAGGGGUGUGGGAAGGACACUUUUACUAAACUUAAUUUGUAAUGUACCCGCACAUAUCAUCUUAAAAUAAGCCUGGAAGCAGGGGCUCUGGUAGUUAUUUCAGUGCAAGUGAGUUUGCCUCUCUGGCUUGACUGUCAUGACUUGUUGCUUGUAUGGCUCAAAAGUAGACUAAUAGAAGAUAAGACAAAGAAAUUCAGCUAGUGAGUCGACAACUUCCUGUCGUGUAGACUCCUUCAUUUACACAACAGACGCUGAAAUGGCGUACUAUGUAAAGGGGGGCUAUCGUAGUAAUCACCUCCCUUUCUACCACCUAAGGGAGAAACGUUCUAGACCCCCAUGGACUCUCUGUAUCAUUUUUAGCUCAUUCAUGCUGAGAGCAAUGAAUGACGUAUCGUGGUGGAGCAGAUGUUGACGGAAGUUGUAUUCUGUGGACGGAAGUUGCAUUGUGGACCGUAAACGGAAGUAGUCUCGCAUGCUACCCCUCUCCACUUAGUGAAAGUCAAAAUUAAUGUCGAUGAAGCUCAGAAACUCACGUGGAAAGAAAUAAAAUGUU